UACGGAGGGUGCAAGCGUUAUCCGGAUUCACUGGGUUUAAAAGGUGCGUAGGUGGGCAGGUAAGUCAGUGGUGAAAUCUCCGGGCUUAACCCGGAAACUGCCAUUGAUACUAUCUGUCUUGAAUACCGUGGAGGUGAGCGGAAUAUGUCAUGUAGCGGUGAAAUGCUUAGAUAUGACAUAGAACACCAAUUGCGAAGGCAGCUCACUACACGAAUAUUGACACUGAGGCACGAAAGCGUGGGGAUCAAACAGG
rnacentral:rRNA from 1 species